rnacentral:rRNA from 1 species
CAGGACGAACGCUGGCGGCGUGCCUAAUACAUGCAAGUCGAACGCACUGACGUCGACAGAAGGUGCUUGCACUGGAAGUUGAUUGACGUGAGUGGCGGACGGGUGAGUAACACGUGGGUAACCUGCCCUUAAGCGGGGGAUAACAUUUGGAAACAGAUGCUAAUACCGCAUAAAAGUUGAGAUCACAUGGUCUUAAUUUGAAAGACGGCCUUUGGCUGUCACUUAAGGAUGGACCCGCGGCGUAUUAGCUAGUUGGUGAGAUAAUAGCCCACCAAGGCGAUGAUACGUAGCCGACCUGAGAGGGUAAUCGGCCACAUUGGGACUGAGACACGGCCCAAACUCCUACGGGAGGCAGCAGUAGGGAAUCUUCCACAAUGGACGAAAGUCUGAUGGAGCAACGCCGCGUGAGUGAAGAAGGUUUUCGGAUCGUAAAACUCUGUUGUUGGAGAAGAACAGGGACUAGAGUAACUGUUAGUCCUUUGACGGUAUCCAACCAGAAAGCCACGGCUAACUACGUGCCAGCAGCCGCGGUAAUACGUAGGUGGCAAGCGUUGUCCGGAUUUAUUGGGCGUAAAGCGAGCGCAGGCGGUUUCUUAAGUCUGAUGUGAAAGCCUUCGGCUUAACCGAAGAAGUGCAUCAGAUACUGGGAAACUUGAGUGCAGAAGAGGAAAGUGGAACUCCAUGUGUAGCGGUGAAAUGCGUAGAUAUAUGGAAGAACACCAGUGGCGAAGGCGGCUUUCUGGUCUGUAACUGACGCUGAGGCUCGAAAGUAUGGGGAGCGAACAGGAUUAGAUACCCUGGUAGUCCAUACCGUAAACGAUGAAUGCUAAGUGUUGGAGGGUUUCCGCCCUUCAGUGCUGCAGCUAACGCAUUAAGCAUUUCGCCUGGGGAGUACGACCGCAAGGUUGAAACUCAAAGGAAUUGACGGGGGCCCGCACAAGCGGUGGAGCAUGUGGUUUAAUUCGAAGCUACGCGAAGAACCUUACCAGGUCUUGACAUCUAGCGCCAAUCCUAGAGAUAGGACGUUCCCUUCGGGGACGCUAAGACAGGUGGUGCAUGGUUGUCGUCAGCUCGUGUCGUGAGAUGUUGGGUUAAGUCCCGCAACGAGCGCAACCCUUAUGAUUAGUUGCCAGCAUUUAGUUGGGCGCUCUAAUCAGACUGCCGGUGACAAAC